rnacentral:rRNA from 1 species
AUGAACGCUGGCGGCGUGCCUAACACAUGCAAGUCGAGCGGAGAUAUCACGCGUAGCAAUACAAGUCUUAUCUUAGCGGCGGACGGGUGAGUAACACGUGAGUAACCUGCCUUCAACUGGGGAAUAACACCGUGAAAACGGUGCUAAUACCGCAUAAAGUUGUCUUAUGGCAUCAUAGGACAACCAAAGGAGCAAUCCGGUUAAAGAUGGACUCGCGUCCGAUUAGCUAGUUGGUGAGGUAACGGCCCACCAAGGCGACGAUCGGUAGCCGAACUGAGAGGUUGAUCGGCCACAUUGGGACUGAGACACGGCCCAGACUCCUACGGGAGGCAGCAGUGGGGAAUAUUGGGCAAUGGGCGAAAGCCUGACCCAGCAACGCCGCGUGAAGGAAGAAGGCCUUCGGGUUGUAAACUUCUUUGAACAGGGACGAAAAAAAUGACGGUACCUGAAAAACAAGCCACGGCUAACUACGU